rnacentral:rRNA from 1 species
GAUGAACGCUGGCGGCGUGCCUAAUACAUGCAAGUCGAGCGAACAGAUGAGGAUCUUGCUCCUCUGACGUUAGCGGCGGACGGGUGAGUAACACGUGGAUAACCUACCUAUAAGACUGGGAUAACUUCGGGAAACCGGAGCUAAUACCGGAUAAUAUAUUGAACCGCAUGGUUCAAUAGUGAAAGACGGUUUUGCUGUCACUUAUAGAUGGAUCCGCGCCGCAUUAGCUAGUUGGUAAGGUAACGGCUUACCAAGGCAACGAUGCGUAGCCGACCUGAGAGGGUGAUCGGCCACACUGGAACUGAGACACGGUCCAGACUCCUACGGGAGGCAGCAGUAGGGAACCGUCCGCAAUGGGCGAAAGCCUGACGGAGCAACGCCGCGUGAGUGAUGAAGGUCUUCGGAUCGUAAAACUCUGUUAUUAGGGAAGAACAAAUGUGUAAGUAACUAUGCACGUCUUGACGGUAACUAAUCAGAAAGCCACGGCUAACUACGUG